UUGAAAUUGACCAAGAUCUACUAGCACAAACAUAUAAGCGCUUACAGACAUUGUUUCACCCUGAUAAACUUUUAAAUAAACCUAAGAAGGAAAAAGCUUUGUUAGGGUUUGUGUCUGCAACGAUCAAUGAAGCUUAUACCACCUUAAAGGAUCCUUUAGCGAGGUCACUCUACUUGUUAAAAUUAAAAGGUACUGAAGUAUCUGAACAUGACAAACUUAAUGAUUCCAAAUUUUUGGGUGAAAUAAUGCAAUUAAGCGAGGACUUGCAAGAGUGCUCCUCACCUGAGGAGCGAUUAUUCUUGGUAAACAAAAUUAUAAAAGGGAAGGAAAAAAUCAUGGACGAAUUUAAAACUGCCUGGGCCAACGGGGAU